UACGGAGGAUGCGAGCGUUAUCCGGAUUUAUUGGGUUUAAAGGGUGCGUAGGCGGACUGUCAAGUCAGCGGUAAAAUUUAGAGGCUCAACCUCUUCCCGCCGUUGAAACUGGUGGUCUUGAGUGGAUGAGAAGUACGCGGAAUGCGUGGUGUAGCGGUGAAAUGCAUAGAUAUCACGCAGAACUCCGAUUGCGAAGGCAGCGUACCGGCAUCCAACUGACGCUGAGGCACGAAAGCGUGGGGAUCAAACAGG
rnacentral:rRNA from 1 species